rnacentral:lncRNA from 1 species
AUUAUAGAGAACCACAGGCCCCUGAUCUGGCUAUAGUUCAUGUCCUUCUAUGUUAACACACAUGGUUCCUCGGUUCCUAAAAAUCCCUAGAGUCCUUGCCCUCUCCCAGCUGAUUUGCCAGCUUUAUUCUCUACUAAUGCCCAAUCCCUGAGGCAGCACAGAGAAUUUUAGACAAGAAUUUUUGCCUAAGUAGUGAUUUCUGAAAGAGUAAGACAUGUUCUGCUUCUGUUAGUCGAUUUCCACUAAAUCUAAGGGUUUGCUGUAAUUUCACUGAAGUUUCUGUGGCAAAGAAGAGCAGCUUACAAUGAUCUACAGGAAGCUUAUUUUACCUUCCAUGAGACACAUUGCAUUUUCUAAAGCUUUUCUUGGUGUUCUUGUCAUGCUAAUCUUGAUUAAUGAUGCUUGGAAAUGAAAAUGAUCUUCAUAAAAAUAUAGUCCAGGUACAGUUUCUAUCCAGUCACUGAAGGAUCACAGAAUGUACAUUUGCACGUUCAUCAAGGUAAAUUAUGGAGAAUAACCUCCAGGAAUUCAUGUAAUUUUAAAGGAAGAUGAAUGGCAAUAAGACCACAAUAGUGGAGAUCUUUCCCAUCUUGUUCCCAAAUAUCUGGAUGCAGGCUUUGGAAGCAGGGUGACAGCAGCUUGGGAAACGAGGGCAGAUUCCCUGAAGGACACUCAAUGGCUCGGGGGUCUGCUCCCAGCACUCAGGUGUCCUUUGGGGUCUGAGUGAAUAUGCAUCUAGAGGUUUCUGAGCUAAGGAAUGUUCCAGCAUCUUCCAAACAGGAACAAUUCAAAUGGAAGACGUGCAGCUGGACUUCACCUUGCUCAUUGCAGACACUCCCUUUUCCUCCUUGGGGACGGACAGGCCAACUAGAAUGAUGGGUGGAUUUUAUUGGUCCUGUGACCAGUGCCUGGAGCUUAGUUUUGAAAUAUUUAAUUUCCCUUGAAAUUGAAAGUUUUAUUGCAUUUACAAAGAGUGUGUGCGAGACCUCUUCUUUCAUCCGAGGAGAGGCAAGCAAACAGGUAAACUGUUGCUAAACUCUCCUUGUGCCAGGCAUACAUGUGACCACAGAUCCAGGAACUUGGGAGUCUCAGGCAGGAGGAUGCCAAGUUCGAGGCCAGCCUCAACAACUCAGUGAGGUCCUAAGACCCUCAGUGAGAAACUGUCCCCAUAUUAAAAAAUAAAUAAAAAGGGCUGGGAGUUGGGGAUGUAGCUCAGUGGUA